ensembl:lncRNA
AUGGCGGAUGGUCGAGGCAGCUCCUUAGGUGGCUCAGGCCUGCCCUGUGGAACGUCCAUGCGGGGAACUCCAACCAGCCCGAGUGACGCGGAUCCUGAGAGCACUCCAGAGACCCAACAGGAGAAAACAGGGCACGCUCAGAUGAAGAUAUGUCGACGUGAGCUAAUAAAGAGGCUAUUUACAGAAGUGCGGCUGAGGUAUAGAGAAACUGCAAGAGAUACCGCAGCACCACCGCUGGGUGAACCAGACAAGGAGAAGAGCAUUUGCCAGAACGGAAAGGAGCCAGUCACGAGGGAGAACCACCCUGAGAGGAGCUCUGAGCUGAGGUUAGGGAUGCAGACAACCAGGGGGUAGAAUGCAGAGAUGCGGUACUUUUGCUUUCCAGUCGUCAACGCCAAAGCAUUAUACUGCAUUCCUUCAAUAUAUAAUAAUAUUUAAAUUGCCUUUUUUUUUUUUUCUUUUCAGAGACAAGGUCUUGCUAUGUUGCCCAGGCUGGUCUCAAACCUGAGCUCAAGGGAUUCCCCUGCCUUGGCCUCCCACAGUGCUGGAAUUACAGGCAUGAGCCACCGUGCCUGGUCCUGAAAAUCAUAAAGAUUGCCUUUCUUUAUGAAUUUCAGAAAUUACCAGUUUAUAGUUCUGUGAAAAGAAAUAUGUGUGGUCUUCGUGAUACACCCACCUAGAGCGUAAAUAUAAGGUACAUAUUAGAAGCUUGUCUAUCAGAAAAUAGGAAGAUAUUUUAACUCUUAAUACUCAAAUCAAGAAGGUUAAGGAGGGUAGAAUUUCUUACAAAAGGGAAUCCCCUCUCUUCACUGCUCCCUGCUUACAAAUUUUGAUGAGAAUCUCCAGUUCUGGAGUCUCUAGUUCUAAUAAACCGACCGACUCGGGAAGACAAAUAUGAAAUAGUACAAAUAAGCAAAUUGAAGAAGUCAUACUUCACUUGAGUCCAUUUUAAGGCCUCCCGUAAAUGAGCCAUUAUAAUGAACUCAUGAACAUGCAUUAAAAAAAACAUUCAGAUUGAACAACAUGACUCAUAGUUUUGAGUAAAAUUGAUGUGAACUUUUUACAGGAAGUUUACACACAAACUCUCACUUAAAUGUGGAAACCAUAUAACUUGAUUUUUGUAUGAUUACAGUUUCAUUUAAUUAUGAUUUAGGAUAAUAAUUGGAGAAAAUACAUCAUUGAAUGGUAGUUCAAGGGAAAUUUAUUUUUAAUUUAAAAUGAAUGCAACUGAAGAAACUAAGCUGUCACAUGAGCAAGGAAACCCCAGAAGCCACACUCAAAGACUGCUUUUCCGUCCAGUGAGCUGGCCAGAGUUCUGCUAGAAAAUACAGUGACUGGGCCGGCCGACCCAGGCAGAGCUACCUGUCACAUAGAGAGGUUCGCAAACAUGGCUGAAAGCAAGACUGACACCCAUUUCAAGGAUUCCGUCGGACUAAAAAGCCUCUGCACAAUCAACACAAUGAAAAAGCAUGUGGAGUGGGAGGAAAUAUUUGCAAACCGUGCAUCUGAUAAGUUCCCCAAAAUAUACGGGAAACUCAAACAACUCGAUAGAAAAAAACAAGAAAAACCCCAAAUAAUCUGAUUUUAAAGAUAGGCAAAGGACCCAAAUAAACAUUUCUCCGAAGAAGACAUAGAAAUAGCUAACAGGUAUACGGAAAGGUGGUCAGCAUCACUAACUGUUACCAAAACACCAGGGGUUUGGACUGGGUCCUGCUGCUCACUGCACAGAAAGCCAAUCACUGAGGCAACGAGUAUUGCCAAGGAAGAAGCUUUAAUCUGGUGCUGCAGUCAAGGAGAUGGGAGCUCAGUCUCAUAUCCUUCUCCCUGACCGGCUAAAACUAGAGGUUUAUAUAGCAGGGAAGAAAGGUAACAAUGUGUAAGAAAACAGAAACUAAAGAGGGGCAAGGGAGUAAUCAUGAGGAACGAGGGUCCCACAUCCCAUUGUCUGGAUCUGGUGAUCUGGUGUUCUUUGCUUUUUUUUUUUUUUUUUUUUUUUUAGAGAGGUCUGAAAGUGGUUUUCAGAGGAAGGAACUCAGAUAAAACAAAUGUAAGGUUCUGAUUUUAAGACCAGAAUGAUCAAUUUCUAUGUUUAUCCAUAAAAUUAUCUAUGAGACUAUUGGGUUAGUUUCAUAAUCACCAGGGAAAUGUCAAUCAAAAUCACUAUGAGAUACUGUCCCACACAAUUAGGAUGGCAAAAAGAUGAAAUAUAAGUGUUGGCAAAAGUUUAGAGAAAAGAGAAGCCGUCACGCCUGUAAUCCCAGCACUUUGGGAGGCCGAGGCGGGCGGAUCACAAGGUCAGGAGAUCGAGACCACGGUGAAACCCCGUCUCUACUAAAAAUACAAAAAAUUAGCCGGGCGCGGUUGUGGGCGCCUGUAGUCCCAGCUACUCGGGAGGCUGAGGCAGGAGAAUGGCGUGAACCCGGGAGGCGGAGCUUGCAGUGAGCCGAGAUCGCGCCACUGCACUCCAGCCUGGGCGACAGAGCGAGACUGUCUCAAAAAAAAAAAAAAAAAGAAAAGAGAAGCCGUCUACAUUGUAGGUGGGAAUGCAAAUUAGUAUAGCCAUAUGGAAAACAGUAUGGAGGUUCCUCAAAAACUAAAAAUAGAACUACCAUAUGAUCUAGCAAUCCCACUACUGUGUAUACAUCCAAAGGAAAUGAAAUCAGAAAUCUACAUUCUUAUGUACAUUGCAGCAUUUUCACCAUGGCUAAGAUAUUGAAUCAACCUAUGUGUCCAUUGACAGACGAAUGGAUAAAGAACAUUUGGUGUAUAUGCACAAUGGAAUACUAUUCAGCCAUAAAAAGAAGGAUAUCCUGUCAUUUGUGACAACAUGAAUGAACAUGGAGAACAUUACGCUCAGUGAAAUAAGCCAGGCACAGAAACACAAAUACUGCAUGGUCUCACUUACAUGUGGAAUCUGAAGAAAUUAACUCAUAGAAAUAGAGAGUAGAACAGUGGUUACCAGGGGCUGGGGGUAAGGGGAGGAGAUGGAGAGAUAUUGGUGACAGGGUACAAAAUAUCAGUUAGGAUGAAUAAGUUCUGGACAUCUAUUGAAAAACAUGAGGAUUAUGAUUAGUCAUAAUGUAUUUCAUACUUGAAAAUUGCCAAGAGAGUAGAUCUUAACUGUUCUCACUGCAAGAAAAGAAUAAGCAUGUCUGGUGAGGGAUAUGCUAACUAGCUUGAUUUAAUCAUUUCACAAUGUAUAUGGAUAGCAAAAUGUCACUUGUAUACCAUAAAUAUAUAUAAUAUUUGUUUGUCUUUUAUAAAUA